GGGGUCACUUGGGGUCCCAUUUUGGGGUCCCAUUUUGGGGUCCCAUUUUGGGGUCCCAUUUUGGGGUCCCUGGGGUUUGGGGUCCCUGGGGUUUGGGGUCCCUGGGGUUUGGGGUCCCUGGGGUUUGGGGUCCCGUUUUGGGGUCCCGUUUUGGGGUCCCAUUUUGGGGUCCCUGGGGUUUGGGGUCCCAUUUUGGGGUCAUAUUUUAUGGUCCCAUUUGGGGUCAUUCUGGGGUCCCUGGGGUUUGGGGUCCCAAUUUUGGGGUCCCAAUUUGGAGUCAUUUUGGGGUCCCUUUUUGGGGUCUCUCGGGGUCAUAUUUUGGGGUCACUCGUGGUCCCAUUUUGGGGUGUCUCGGGGUCACAAUUCGGGGUCUCUCGGGGUCAUAAUGGGGUCACAUUUUGGGGUCCCAUUUGAGGUCAUUUUGGGGUUAUUUUGGGGUCCCUUUUUGGGGUCACUCGGGGUCACAAUUUGGUGUCACUCGGGGUCGCAAUUUGGGGUCACUCGGGGUCCCAUUUUGGGGUCCCUGGGGUUUGGGGUCCCAUUUUGGGGUCAUUUGGGGUCACUCGGGGUUAUAUUUUGGGGUCCCAUUUGGGGUCAUUUUGGGGUUAUUUUGGGGUCAUAUUUUGGGGUCACUCGGGGUCAUAUUUUGGGGUCACUCGGGGUCCCAUUUUGGGGUCCCAUUUGGGGUCAUUUUGGGGUCCCUUUUUGGGGUCUCUCAGGGUCAUAUUUUGGGGUCACUUGGGUCCACAUUUUGGGGUCAUUUUGGGGUCCCAUUUGGGGUCAUUUUGGGGUCCCUGGGGUUUGGGGUCCCAAUUUUGGGGUCCCAAUUUGGAGUCAUUUUGGGGUCCCAUUUUGGGGUCUCUCGGGGUCCCAUUUUGGGGUCCCAUUUUGGAGUCCCAUUUGGGGGCAUUUUGGGGUCAUUUUGGGGUCCCAUCUUGGGGUCUCUCAGGGUCCCAUUUUGGGGUCACUCAGGGUCACAAUUUGGGGUCACUUUGGGUCAUAUUUUGGGGUCCCAUUUUGGGGUCUCUCGGGGUCCCAUUUUGGGGUCAUUUUGGGGUCCCUGGGGUUUGGGGUCCCAUUUUGGGGUCGUUUUGGGGUGACGUUUUGGGGUGUCCCCGCAGCCGGCCCCGUCAUCAUGUCGCUGGAGGAGAAGAUGGAGGCCGACGCGCGCUCCAUCUACGUCGGCAA
rnacentral:lncRNA from 1 species